GUUCUUGAUGAGAACCCGAUUAUCCUGCUAAGUUAUUCUCUCGAGAAGACGGAAUGUAGACCAAUAGACAGAUUGUUUUUCAAAGUGGCACAUUACCUCACAUGGGACCUCGUCGAAAGUGAGAUUGAAAGCUUUACCGACAGGCUUACGAGCAGGCACGUCAAAUCAUUGUUGCAGUGUGUAGAUAUCGACAUGAAAGAGGACGUAAUAGUUACAGCAAAUAAAACUACAAUGUUCAACACUCAGGCAAUCGUGAAUGACUGGAUCAGGCAAGCGGCGUGCAGCAAUUACGAAAAAAGAUUGAAGCUUCGUGAGGCAGUGGUCAGCAUUGGUCGACAAGACAUAAAAGAUGAGUUUCGGAAAGACCUUAACCCUGGCAGAGACCUAGGAAUCCAGCAUGGAACAAAAUCAUCUGGCCAUGGAAAAGGUA